ensembl:processed_transcript
GAGAUUUCAGAGGCAUAAGUGCCUUCAUGAAUCAUUAAGUGUGGGAGGCAGAGACAUGACUCUGAGUGUUCAUGCCUGCCUCACGGGGGCCACGGUGGUGCUGCCACCAGAUAAUGAACCAUCAAGAAGAGAUGAAGUUUGGAAGGAGGAUUCUUAGAUCAGGAUUCAUGAUAGUGUCGUAAGUGAAUUGAAGGUACUCACUACGGGCUACACUAAUCUACCACCCGGAAAAUAUUUUUCUCCAGGGAUCGCACAGAGGUACUGAGAGUAAAUAAGAUGAUUUAAGAACUACGAAGAAGCAAGCAAUGACCUAACUGAAAGACCGUAAUCCCAAUGCUAGUUGGGUCACAGAAACUGAGUGGAAAGUGGAGAAAAGAAAAGGAAAUUCUAAGUUCGUGGAAAGAAGUGAAAGAAUGAUAAGGGUUGGGGUGAAGAUGGGGCAAUAUGUUAAAAAUACAUUGCAUGAAGUUCUGGAAGACUCAACAAACAUAUUUUGAAUAUGUUGAAUUACUCAGCGGUCAACGAGUCCUCACCUACUUCAGCUACUUGGAUGAUUAUUAGAAAUGUUGCUGUUUCAAUAUAUUAUCAAACAUGCUCCCGAACAGGAAUGAAUUAAUUUAUGCCUAAUAAACAUGCUAUUUUCACAAAGAAAUGCAAUUCACUUUGAGAAAUUAGUACAAAACUUACCAAACCAUUUUAAAUCCAAUUUGUCUUACAUUGAUAGAGUACACUUGAAUUUAUCUCUGCAACUAGAAUACCAGCUAUCAUUUUGUCUAAAAAAAAAAACCGAACCUACUUCAUUACCUUUUUGAAUGCCAUUUGUAAGUUGUGCAUCUAAAAGCUUUGCAGACUGUGUGUGUGAGUUAAAAUAAUUUUCAAGAAUGUCUUACCAGAAGUUGUCUUCACUACUUCAGUUGUAUUCCUCAAUCCAACAAAGGAAAAUUGAUACAGCCUCCAUGAUCUUGUGUCACCCACUUCAACAGAACUGCGCUUCCAUUGAUAAACAAUUUCUUCACGAGGAUAUCCAUCUACCAUGAGAUGGGAAAACUCAGCCAGAGGUAGCAACCACCUUCUUUGAAUAACUUGUAAAUACCAAGGGAGAACAAAACUGAAAGUCAUAUGAGCACACUGGACUGGCCUUGUGGAAUUUGCCUCCCAGGAAAUUAACAAAAUAUAUAUCAAAUCCUGCUGGAAAAGACUGAAAGUAAGAAAGUCAAAACUGCCUUUAAAAAAUCUCGCUUUUAGUUGCAUGUAAUGUAAACAAUGAAGGAUAUUCUAAAUGUUGUAUUUGUACUUUAUAUCACUUUUGUAAGAUACAAAAGUAUCUAGUACAAAGUGAAAAUUAGAUAUGUAAAAUUAGAUAUUAGAUAUUGUAAUGAAGUAAAUUACAUAUGAUCAAUUCUGUCUUUUAAAAUUAACUACGGUCAUGACUAUUUUGAUUUUAGGAGUCUCUCUGACUCUAUUGAAGAGAAAUUAUGUUGAUGAAAAUGCUUGUUUAAAAUCCAUCAUUAACAUUUCAUUCAUUCAAAAAUAUCUAACUGCUAAACCGGAAAUAAGGCAGAGAUGGAUAAUCUAAUAUCGAUAUUGAACAAAUAGGAAUUCAUGUAGAAAAGUGAGGCCUGUUUGCUUUAGAAUAUCUGUGGAAGUUUUAAUAUUUAAUUGGUGGUAGAGUUGUCAAAAUCCCUUUGAUAUGUUGAAAAUAUCUUCUCUGAUGAAAAUAAUAAGUCAGGCUUUUACAGUGUUGACAUAUCAUACAUUUUUACAAAUAUUAUACCAACAAAACAGAGUUAAUGUGAAAUAUACUUUGUUUAAGAAUGUGUUAUAUAACAUUCUUCUGAGUCCCAUGAUGAAGGAUAUUGGAGGUAUAGUAUCAACCAUGUAUACGUUCUAUUGAGUCCUGGCCUGGCCUUACAGUCCACCUCAAUAGUCAGUCUGGACACAUUGUCUAUUUUUUAAGAGUUGCCCAUUCUAUCAAUUCUUCUUGUAAAGAUUGUUUUAAUUGGGACAGUUUGAAGUACAAUAAAAAAUGAUGUCAAAAUCAAUAGCAAAGCUCAGUGCCACUAUGCAAUUUCUCAGAUUCACUGCAUUAAUUGACAAGGCAAUUAGAGUGACUACAGGUGGCAGGGCACAAUCUGGGGAGAAUAUUACUUACAACUGGAGAACUCCAGGGGGCAGGAGUGUUCAUCCAUUGGGAAGUUGUGUAAUUGCAACUGGCACUCAGCAUCAAUUGUUAGCCUAAUUAGAACAACAAUAAACAUACAGAGAAAAAAUGCUAACAUCAUUUUUACAGUGCACACUGACAUCCUUUCUAGAACAAUCUUACACUGUGAUUGAUAAAACAAAGUGAUCCUCUAUGAAUAAAAUUCAAGUUCUAGGUAAGAAUUAUUUCCGAGCAUAUUUUAUUUACAUAGCAGACAGAACCACCCAAUUCACCUCAACUCCAUUAAUUCAAAAUAUGUGGAUACUUGUUUUAUAUUUUAUCUUAUUUAUUUUUGCAAAUUAGCUGCACACAGGAGAUUUCUCAGUGAAUAUUUUUAACUUAUUUAAGAGAACAAACUGUUUUAGGAACUUAAGCUCGUUUAAUGUUUGCAUCAAAUGAAUGCUGACAGUUCUCUGAUCUUAUCAGCUAAUUAACACGAAGCCUUCUGUUGGUAAGAACUUGCUGUUUUUAAAUUGCCAUAGGUGGGUUUUAAAAUACCACUGCUGCACAAGGGACUGGUAUGCACUUUUACAACAGAGAUAGAUAGAUAGAUAGAUAGAUAGAUAGAUAGAUAGAUAGAUAGAUAGAUUGAAAGCAAGCUACAUUGAUAAAACAAAAUAGAGACUGCAACAUCAGCGCCACAUGCACAUAUAUGAACUAGUUUUCCUUUUAAUUUGCAUUUAUAAAUAAAAUAAUGGUUUGUGAUAGUUUUGCAUAUGUAUAUUGUUUGCUCUGUUCAUAUUAACUCAUUUCUCUGUUUUGUACUCUCUCCCCAUGUUUUUGGUCCCUUCUGUCUCUCCAAAUAAUAUCAUAUCUACCUUUAUUUCCUUUUAUUUUCUUUGUAAUGUUAUCUUUANGUGUGCAUAUGGAGAAUAAAAGUUAACAUUAAAUGAAAAAAAAAGAAAGCAAGCUACGUAGAUAGAUAAAAUUAUUUUCCUAUAUAAGAUGUUAUAGGAGAGGAUAUCUAAAAGUUAACAAGAGAUGCUAAAUGCACAUACAAUGAGACAAUGAGAAUGACUUCACCAUUGAGUCUCAGUUUAAACAAAGUUUAAAACCUCAAGAUGUGCAGUUUUAAGCCCUGGACUGUGACUCAAGAAGGGAGUUUAAAUCUGAAGGAUUAUAGAUGUUCUGACCACCUUUGGAAAGGCAUAGAAAAAAAAUAGAAUCAAACUGUAAUGGUGAUGAUUGGUGGCUUUCAGAAUGUUCAUGUUUGUCAGCUACAUUUCUUACAAGCUACAAUACCACUGCUUAAGUGAUAGAAAUGUUAUUUUACAAAAAUUAAAUUUAAAGGAUUUUCUAAUUAGCAUGACUUUUCAUUGAGGACAUGUUAGAUGUUUUGUGGUACAAGAGAGCAAUGAAUAAUCUUUAUGUGUAUUUUCAAUGGCCUAUGAAGCCUUGAUGAACUGAACUACUUCUGUACUAAAUGUUGUGAUGGCUCCGUUGCACUGAAAUGUAUUCAAGGUCACAGGGACCAGGAACACGGUUAUGAUUUGUACUUAGACUCUUCACUCUUCGUCACAGCAGGAGACUUUAAUCACUGUCUCUACGAUCAUUCUUCAAAGAAUAGUUUGGCUUUACUCCCAAAUGAGAUUUUAAUUAAAUCUGGUUUUUAUUAGAAUUAUCUCUCAAAAUAAAUUGAUAUUCUUCUUAUUAAGAUAAUACAGAUAGAUUGCAGAUAUAAGUAUAGAUUCAGAAGUAUUAAUAGCUCUACAAAUACAUGCACACAUAUAUUCAGACAUUUAUAGCUUAGAUAAGCAACUAAAUUAAAAAUCAUCUUUCUUUAUAAAUACAUACAUUGUUUCAAGUCUUAAGCAGAUCAUAAUUGACACUUAAAGGAGGGUUCUAUAAUUAAACACUGUUCCCCAAAUUAAUAAGAACUCAAAAUUGACGACAACAUUAUAAUAUGAUAACAAGACUUGAGGUAGAGUGAAUGAUUGCAGAUUUCACAAGCCAAAUGAACUCUGAUUUAUCAUUCAGACUUUGAUUUUCACAUUUCUAAUUCUAGUCAUUACCUUAUCAGGAAUUUAAUAAAUUCCCACUGAAUCUAAAAUAGGCACAAUGACUUUCUUUUGCAAUUAUGGUAGAGAUUUCAAAUCAUUUGAAAGUAUUAUGCCUUAUAUGUUUAGUAUUAAGCAUUUACAAAGAAUAAAUAUAUUUUACUGGUACAUAUGAUAUGUUAACUUAGAUGUAUAUUGUUUCGAUAUUUCUAAAAUAUAAAUAAAUCUUACAAUAUACCAUGCCCC